GUAAGACUAUCUCUUAAGCCAGAGAAGAAACCUACACUCGGGGAGAGUUGAGGAUCGAAGAAGAAACAAUUCCAAGAAAAUGAGCUUUGGGGAAAAGAAAGAUGAAGGUUCUAGUAGCAAGGGACCAACUCCAAAGAAGAACCGUACCACUACCUGCAAUGCGUGUGGCGAAGAAGGCCACAUUAGACCUAACUGUCCACAUCGGAAUCAAGCUGGUGGAACAAAUGCACCACGACAACAGUCGCUGAGAAACGACACCAGAAACCAGGCUGCUCGGCCUGCUCAAUAAGCACCACCAAGAGGAAACCAGACAGGACCAAGUAGGAGACCUGAAAAUCCACAACCAGGAAGGAAUGGAGGACGAGUGUUCGUCGUGGCAGGAAGGCAGGGACAAAGAAGAAGGAAUUGCUCUUGACAGUACGAUUAUUUUAUCCAACACUCAAGUUAAGCUUUUGGUUGAUACUGGUGCAUCAUAUUCCUUUAUUUCUGAGUGGUCAGCCAAAAUUUUAGGACUAACCAGUAAGAUGUUGGAUAGAAUAUUAGUAUUAACUGUUCCUUUGGGUGGAAAUGCUAAUGUGGAUUCCAUUUACCUCUUAAAACAAGCCCAACCCCAAAGGGAACAGUUAAUGCUAAUAUUCUAUCCAAUCAGUCUAUGCAACACUUGGUACAAGAUUUUGUCCAAGCUACUUGCCAACCGGUUAAAGUCUCUCAUGCCUCACCUUGUUUCUGAUUCCCAAAAUGCCUUCUUGGCUGACCGUUAGAUUCAUGAUAAUGUGAUUGUAGCUCAUGAAGCCUUUCAUUAUCUUAAGCUCAAGAGAGCAGGUCACAAGUAUGCAAGUAUGAAGUGGGAAUUAAAAUUGACAUGAACAAGGCUUAUGAUAGGGUGGAGUGAGAUUUUCUUGAAGCUCUGUUACAAAAGCUUGGUUUCCAGAUAGGAUGGAUCAGAUUGGUUAUGUUGUGUAUUAGAACCGUCUCUUUCUUUGUCUUAGUGAAUGGUCAACCUGGUUCAUCCUUCCUGCCAUCGAACACACUCUAUUUCUUUGCCCCUGGGCUCAAGCUGUGUGGUUUGGAUCUCCAAUGACGUUAAGAAUUGAUACUCAAAGCUUUAACACUCUAGAUGUUUGGCUGAAUAAUAUUCUGGACUUGAGAACAGAAUAAAAAAUGGAAAAGCAUGAUCUGCUCACUAUGCUAAGCUUUUUUCUUUGGGAAAUAUGGAAGACCAGAUGCAAAGCUAUCAUGGAAGGUUGUAGAAUUGAUCCAUGCAAAGUGGUUGAAACAGCAAGUAAGGCAAAGGUGGAAUUUUAGAAAGUGUGGCAAGGUAAUGCAAAUAGUGUAACGAGCCGUUCCCCUUCAAUUGGCGAGGUUUGCUCGUGGGAGCCGCCGCCUAUGGGUUUUGUUAAAGUUAAUAUUGAUGGGAGUUGGCAAAAGCAAUGGUAGAAAAGCUGGUGUUGGAGUGGUUAUUCGAAAUUCAGUUGGGGAGUUUCUAGGAGGCUUGGCUGCAUCACGAGUGGGUCACUCUGCUCUUGAGGUGGAGGCUGAAGCAGCUGUCAUGGGGCUGGAGCUUACGGCCAAUCUUGGCUAUAGUGAUGUCUACGUGAAAUCUGACUCAAAGACCCUUGUGGAUGGGAUCAAUGGGGAUAUAAGGAACCGUGCUUGGACUAUCAGGCCUUCUAUUGAGGUUAUCUAGCAUAGAGCUGAUCAGCUCAGAAGUGUUUUUUGGCAUUGGGUUCAAAGGAGUUCAAAUCGAGCAGCUCAUGAGGCUGCAGCGAUAGCUUGCCGAGUAGUGGAGCUGGAAAGCUAGGUUACUCAACCACUGUUGUCUCUCUUACAUGUUUUGGUGUUUGAUGGUCUUCUAGGUCCUCCUUAGUUGGAGUUUUCCUUCUUUUGCUGGAUUGUAGCGAUUCAGAUGAAGGAGAUUCUCUAGUUGUCUCAGUUUCUGCUUUCUGUGUAUUUCCUUGCAGUUGCCUUUUGGCUUGGAAUCCAAUUCAUGGUUGAC
rnacentral:lncRNA from 1 species